rnacentral:rRNA from 1 species
CUAUACAUGCAAGUCGAGCGGACAGAUGGGAGCUUGCUCCCUGAUGUUAGCGGCGGACGGGUGAGUAACACGUGGGUAACCUGCCUGUAAGACUGGGAUAACUCCGGGAAACCGGGGCUAAUACCGGAUGCUUGAUUGAACCGCAUGGUUCAAUUAUAAAAGGUGGCUUUUAGCUACCACUUACAGAUGGACCCGCGGCGCAUUAGCUAGUUGGUGAGGUAACGGCUCACCAAGGCAACGAUGCGUAGCCGACCUGAGAGGGUGAUCGGCCACACUGGGACUGAGACACGGCCCAAACUCCUACGGGAGGCAGCAGUAGGGAAUCUUCCGCAAUGGACGAAAGUCUGACGGAGCAACGCCGCGUGAGUGAUGAAGGUUUUCGGAUCGUAAAACUCUGUUGUUAGGGAAGAACAAGUACCGUUCGAAUAGGGCGGUACCUUGACGGUACCUAACCAGAAAGCCACGGCUAACUACGUGCCAGCAGCCGCGGUAAUACGUAGGUGGCAAGCGUUGUCCGGAAUUAUUGGGCGUAAAGCGCGCGCAGGCGGUUUCUUAAGUCUGAUGUGAAAGCCCCCGGCUCAACCGGGGAGGGUCAUUGGAAACUGGGGAACUUGAGUGCAGAAGAGGAGAGUGGAAUUCCACGUGUAGCGGUGAAAUGCGUAGAGAUGUGGAGGAACACCAGUGGCGAAGGCGACUCUCUGGUCUGUAACUGACGCUGAGGCGCGAAAGCGUGGGGAGCGAACAGGAUUAGAUACCCUGGUAGUCCACGCCGUAAACGAUGAGUGCUAAGUGUUAGAGGGUUUCCGCCCUUUAGUGCUGCAGCAAACGCAUUAAGCACUCCGCCUGGGGAGUACGGUCGCAAGACUGAAACUCAAAGGAAUUGACGGGGGCCCGCACAAGCGGUGGAGCAUGUGGUUUAAUUUCAAACCACGCGAAGAACCUUACCAGGUCUUGACAUCCUCUGACAACCCUAGAGAUAGGGCUUCCCCUUCGGGGGCAGAGUGACAGGUGGUGCAUGGUUGUCGUCAGCUCGUGUCGUGAGAUG